rnacentral:rRNA from 1 species
ACUCAAAUGAAUUGACGGGGGCCCGCACAAGCGGUGGAGCAUGUGGUUUAAUUCGACGCAACGCGAAGAACCUUACCUGGGCUUGAACUGCAGUGGACCGCGGUAGAGAUAUCGCUUUUCGCAAGAACUGCUGCAGAGGUGCUGCAUGGCUGUCGUCAGCUCGUGUCGUGAGAUGUUGGGUUAAGUCCCGCAACGAGCGCAACCCUUACCCUUAGUUGCCAGCGCGUAAAGGCGGGAACUCUAGGGGGACCGCCCGGGUUAACCGGGAGGAAGGUGGGGAUGAUGUCAAGUCCUCAUGGCCCUUAUGUCCAGGGCUACACACGUGCUACAAUGGGCGAUACAAACCGUUGCAAAGCCGCGAGGUGGAGCUAAUCGGAGAAAGUCGUCCUCAGUUCGGAUUGCAGUCUGCAACUCGACUGCAUGAAGGUGGAAUCGCUAGUAAUCGUGUAUCAGAAUGAUACGGUGAAUACGUUCCCGGGCCUUGUACACACCGCCCGU